rnacentral:tRNA from 1 species
GCCGAAAUAGCUCAGGUGGGAGAGCGUCAGACUGAAGAUCUGAAGGUCCCUGGUUCAAUCCCGGGUUCGGCA